GCUCAGGAUGAACGCCGGCGGUGUGCCUAAUACAUGCAAGUCGAACGCGUUGGCCCAAUUGAUUGAUGGUGCUUGCACCUGAUUGAUUUUGGUCGCCAACGAGUGGCGGACGGGUGAGUAACACGUAGGUAACCUGCCCAGAAGCGGGGGACAACAUUUGGAAACAGAUGCUAAUACCGCAUAACAGCGUUGUUCGCAUGAACAACGCUUAAAAGAUGGCUUCUCGCUAUCACUUCUGGAUGGACCUGCGGUGCAUUAGCUUGUUGGUGGGGUAACGGCCUACCAAGGCGAUGAUGCAUAGCCGAGUUGAGAGACUGAUCGGCCACAAUGGGACUGAGACACGGCCCAUACUCCUACGGGAGGCAGCAGUAGGGAAUCUUCCACAAUGGGCGCAAGCCUGAUGGAGCAACACCGCGUGAGUGAAGAAGGGUUUCGGCUCGUAAAGCUCUGUUGUUAAAGAAGAACACGUAUGAGAGUAACUGUUCAUACGUUGACGGUAUUUAACCAGAAAGUCACGGCUAACUACGUGCCAGCAGCCGCGGUAAUACGUAGGUGGCAAGCGUUAUCCGGAUUUAUUGGGCGUAAAGAGAGUGCAGGCGGUUUUCUAAGUCUGAUGUGAAAGCCUUCGGCUUAACCGGAGAAGUGCAUCGGAAACUGGAUAACUUGAGUGCAGAAGAGGGUAGUGGAACUCCAUGUGUAGCGGUGGAAUGCGUAGAUAUAUGGAAGAACACCAGUGGCGAAGGCGGCUACCUGGUCUGCAACUGACGCUGAGACUCGAAAGCAUGGGUAGCGAACAGGAUUAGAUACCCUGGUAGUCCAUGCCGUAAACGAUGAGUGCUAGGUGUUGGAGGGUUUCCGCCCUUCAGUGCCGGAGCUAACGCAUUAAGCACUCCGCCUGGGGAGUACGACCGCAAGGUUGAAACUCAAAGGAAUUGACGGGGGCCCGCACAAGCGGUGGAGCAUGUGGUUUAAUUCGAAGCUACGCGAAGAACCUUACCAGGUCUUGACAUCUUGCGCCAACCCUAGAGAUAGGGCGUUUCCUUCGGGAACGCAAUGACAGGUGGUGCAUGGUCGUCGUCAGCUCGUGUCGUGAGAUGUUGGGUUAAGUCCCGCAACGAGCGCAACCCUUGUUACUAGUUGCCAGCAUUAAGUUGGGCACUCUAGUGAGACUGCCGGUGACAAACCGGAGGAAGGUGGGGACGACGUCAGAUCAUCAUGCCCCUUAUGACCUGGGCUACACACGUGCUACAAUGGACGGUACAACGAGUCGCGAACUCGCGAGGGCAAGCAAAUCUCUUAAAACCGUUCUCAGUUCGGACUGCAGGCUGCAACUCGCCUGCACGAAGUCGGAAUCGCUAGUAAUCGCGGAUCAGCAUGCCGCGGUGAAUACGUUCCCGGGCCUUGUACACACCGCCCGUCACACCAUGAGAGUUUGUAACACCCAAAGUCGGUGGGGUAACCUUUUAGGAGCCAGCCGCCUAAGGUGGGACAGAUGA
rnacentral:rRNA from 2 species